UGGAGCUGGUAAUAAUAAACUAGUUUGUGCUUAGAUGCUCCUGAGUGGUACACUCCGAAUUGAGUCUAAGAACAACACAGCUAGCACCACCGCUCUA
rnacentral:ncRNA from 1 species